AACGAACGCUGGCGGCAUGCCUAACACAUGCAAGUCGAACGAGACCUUCGGGUCUAGUGGCGCACGGGUGCGUAACGCCUGGGAACCUGCCCUUAAGUUCGGAAUACCUCCCCGAAAGGGGUGCUAAUACCGGAUAAUGUCUUCGCACCAAGGAUUUACUGCCGUUGGAUGGGCGCGGGUUGGAUUAGCGAGUUGGUAGGGUACAAGCAUGCCAUGGCGAGGUUCCUUGGCUGGUCGGAUAGCAUGCCCAGCUACGCUGGAGCUGAGACACGGCCCAGACUCCUACGGAAGGGUGGAGUGUGGAAUAUUGGACGAUGGGGGAAGGCCUGAUCAAGCAACGCCGGGGGAGAGGUGAAGGCCGUAGGGUUGUAAAGCUGUUUUAGACGGGAUGAUAAUGACAGUACCGGGAGAAUAAGCACCGGCUAACUACGUG
rnacentral:rRNA from 1 species